rnacentral:rRNA from 1 species
GACGAACGCUGGCGGCGUGCUUAACACAUGCAAGUCGAACGGAAAGGCCCUGCUUUUGUGGGGUGCUCGAGUGGCGAACGGGUGAGUAACACGUGAGUAACCUGCCCUUGACUUUGGGAUAACUUCAGGAAACUGGGGCUAAUACCGGAUAGGAGCUCCUGCUGCAUGGUGGGGGUUGGAAAGUUUCGGCGGUUGGGGAUGGACUCGCGGGUUAUCAGCUUGUUGGUGGGGUAGUGGCUUACCAAGGCUUUGACGGGUAGCCGGCCUGAGAGGGUGACCGGCCACAUUGGGACUGAGAGACGGCCCAGACUCCUACGGGAGGCAGCAGUGGGGAAUAUUGCACAAUGGGCGGAAGCCUGAUGCAGCAACGCCGCGUGCGGGAUGACGGCCUUCGGGUUGUAAACCGCUUUCGCCUGUGACGAAGCGGGAGUGACGGUAAUGGGUAAAGAAGCACCGGCUAACUACGUG